rnacentral:rRNA from 1 species
GGGCUUUUUUUAGGUCUGACCUGCCCAGUGAUAAUUUUAACGGCCGCGGUAUACUGACCGUGCAAAGGUAGCAUAAUCAUUAGUCUUUUAAUAGAGGGCUGGAAUGAAAGGUUUCACGAGGAACUAGCUGUCUCAUUUUAUUUGUUUUAAAAUUUAAUUUUUUAGUCAAAAAGCUAAAAUGCAAUUGGUAGACGAGAAGACCCUAUAGAUCUUUAUAUAAUUUUAAAUACUUAUUUAUAUAUUAAUAUUUUUAUUUAAAAUUGUAUUUUGUUGGGGUGACAAAAAUAUAUAAUUAACUUUUUUAUUUACAUAACAUUGAUAUAUGAAUAUUAGAUCCAUUAUUAGUGAUUGAUAGAUUAAGUUACCUUAGGGAUAACAGCGUAAUCCUCCUCCAGAGUUCAUAUUUACAGGAUGGGCUUGCGACCUCGAUGUUGGAUUAAGAUAAUAAUUAGGUGUAGCCGCUUAAUUUAUAGGUCUGUUCGACCUUUAAAUUCUUACAUGAUCUGAGUUCAAACCGGAGAAUUUAUU